rnacentral:misc_RNA from 1 species
GGCCGAGUCGCCAGAGUCCCACUGAGGCCGUUGCAACCUUCAGUCCGCCGGUGGUGCUCACUCGCUGGCACGCAGCACCAUGCUAUCUCCUUGGCAGGGCUUCGGCUGGACGGCUCAGCUCUUCAGCUCCAGCAGCGCCCUGGACGUCCUGGUGAUAGUUUUGUACUUCCUGUUGGUUCUGGGCAUCGCGCUGUGGGUUAUCAUGUCAUGCAGCCGUGGGACAGAGGAAGACUUCUUCCUGGCGGGACGAAGCCUCGUGUGGUGGCAGAUAGGUGCUUUUCUUUUUGCCUCAAAUAUUGGCACUGGCCACUUCAUGGGUCUGGCUGGAAAAGGGGCGUCUUCGGGGAUUGCUGUCGGGGCCUUCGAGUGGAACGCCGCAUUCAUCCUCUGUGCUCUUGGUUGGGUGUUUUCUCCUGUUUAUAUGAAGUCUGGGGUAGUGACGCUGCCCAGAUACUUGAGGAAGAGGUUUGGUGGCUACCGGAUCCAGUUCCUCCUCGCUGUUCUGUACUUAGUCAUCUAUAUCUUCAGUAAGAUCUCGGUGGAGAUCUGCGCGGGCGCCGUGUUCAUGAGGCUGGUUCUGGGGCUGGAUGUUUACCUGGCCACUGUGGUCCUGCUGUCAGUCACCGGCAUAUGCUCCGUCACAGGUGGUUUUGCAGCCGUGGUUUACACUGAUCUCUUACACGCUGGCUUCGUGGUUCUGGGCUCUGUCUUGUUAAUGGGCUAUGCCUUUAACGAGAUAGGCGGAUACCAGGAGCUAGAGAGCAGGUACCCGGAGGCCAAGCCGACCGUCACCCAGGAAGGGAACUGGACCGCCCCGAUGGAGUGCUUCGUACCACGUGCGGACGCCUUCCACGUUUUCCGAGACCCCGUCACCGGAGACGUCCCCUGGCCUGGGGUCGUCUUUGGCCUCUCCACCAUUUCCUUGUACUACUGGUGCACUGACCAGAUCUUCGUCCAGGGCUGCCUGGCUGGGAAGAACUUGUCCCACGUGAAGGGCGGCUGCGUCCUGUGCGGGUUCCUGAAGCUGUUGCCCAUGUUCAGCAUCGUCAUGCCAGGGAUGAUCAGCCGUGUCCUGUACACAGAUGAGGUGGCGUGUGUUGUGCCUUCAGAGUGUAAGAAGUACUGUGGCAUGCAGGCCAGCUGCAGCCCCAUCGCCUACCCCCUGCUGGUGGUGGAGCUUCUGCCUAGCGGCGUCCGCGGCUUGGUGGUGUCCGCCCUCUGGGCCUCCCUCAUGUCCUCCCUGACUGCCGUAUACAGUAGUGCCAGCGCCGUGUUCACCAUGGACAUCUACCCCCAGAUGCGGCCGACGGCCACUAAAAAGGAGCUCAUGAUAACAGGAAGGCUCUUUGUUAUAGUCCUGCUCGCCGUCUCGGUCGCCUGGGUGCCCGCCCUGCAGGUGGCUCACAGGGAGCAGCUGUUUGAGUACAUGCACACGCUGCUCAGCUACCUGACGCCGCCCGUGGCCGCCACGUUCCUGCUGGCCGUCUUCUGCAAGAGGGUCACUGAGCAGGGCGCCUUCUGGGGGCUGGCCAGCGGCCUUGUGAUCGGCUCCUGUCGCAUGCUGUCCGAGUUUGCCUACGGGCCCUGGAGCUGCUCCAUGAACAGGAAGUGCCCCCGGAUCAUCUGCGGCGUGCACUACCUCUACUUCGCCAUGAUCCUCUUCACCAUCAGCCUCAUCACCGUCCUGGGCAUCUCCAUGUUCACCGUGCCGAUUCCAGACAAACACCUCCACCGCCUCUGUUGGAGUUUGCGGAACAGCCAGGAGGAGAGGGUGGACCUGGACGAGGACACAGAGGUGAAGAGCCCCGAGCCCCAGGCACAGCCAGCGGUUCAAGCCAGAGGCUCCUGGGCGCAGGCGGGCGUUAUCCGCAAGGAGUGGUGGGCAGCUGCCCCCGCGAGGGCGCCAGGGACACCGCUGCGGACACCUGAGUUUCAGUCCCAGCAGGGAGAAUGGGGAGACUGCGGCCCCACCCAGAAGUGUCUGCCCUGGCUCCGCACACCACCCAGCAGUGGCGGGGCUGGGAGGUCGGGCACGGGCAGGCUGACUGCAGAGCACAUGCUCGCGGCCACUGGCCUGUCCCGCCUCCCUUCAGGCAGCCCUUGGGUUGUGGCCGCAUGGGGGGCCCUCGUCUCUGGGGUCCCCGGCGGCGGCCCCUCCCCCGUGACACAGGCCCCUGGAACACCGGCCGGCGAGCUCCACGAUCCCGACACGUUCGUAGAGGACAGGGGCUGCCUCUGGAAGGCCUGGGACGUGUUCUGUGGCCUGGAGUUGCUGCCCAGCCCCAAGCUGGCCCCGGAAGAGGUGGGCGUGCCUGAGACGGAGCAGAAUGACAUGGCUGAAGGGAUGGCGCACGGUGCCACGUCGGGAGGGACAGAGGAGAGGGAGGCGCCGGAGGAGCGGCUCCUCUGGAGCAAGGCGCUCGGGCUCUGCGGGCUGCUCCUGGUGCUGCUCACGGUGCUCUGCCACAUCUACUUCCACUAG